rnacentral:rRNA from 1 species
GGCGUGCCUAAUACAUGCAAGUCGAGCGGACGAAUCGAAAGCUUGCUUUUGAUUCGUUAGCGGCGGACGGGUGAGUAACACGUGGGCAACCUGCCCUGUAGACGGGGAUAACACCGAGAAAUCGGUGCUAAUACCGGAUAACACGAAAUGUCGCAUGACGUUUCGUUGAAAGACGGCGCAAGCUGUCGCUACAGGAUGGGCCCGCGGCGCAUUAGCUAGUUGGUGAGGUAACGGCUCACCAAGGCGACGAUGCGUAGCCGACCUGAGAGGGUGAUCGGCCACACUGGGACUGAGACACGGCCCAGACUCCUACGGGAGGCAGCAGUAGGGAAUCUUCCGCAAUGGACGAAAGUCUGACGGAGCAACGCCGCGUGAGCGAAGAAGGCCUUCGGGUCGUAAAGCUCUGUUGUUAGGGAAGAACAAGUAACGCAGUAACUGGCGUUACCGUGACGGUACCUAACGAGAAAGCCACGGCUAACUACGUGCCAGCAGCCGCGGUAAU